rnacentral:rRNA from 1 species
ACUACGAGUUUGAUCCUGGCUCAGAUUGAACGCUGGCGGCAUGCUUUACACAUGCAAGUCGAACGGUAACAGGCCUUCGGGUGCUGACGAGUGGCGAACGGGUGAGUAAUGCAUCGGAACGUGCCCAAUCGUGGGGGAUAACGUAGCGAAAGUUACGCUAAUACCGCAUAAGCCCUGAGGGGGAAAGUGGGGGACCGCAAGGCCUCACGCGAAUGGAGCGGCCGAUGUCAGAUUAGCUAGUUGGUGGGGUAAAGGCUCACCAAGGCGACGAUCUGUAGCGGGUCUGAGAGGAUGAUCCGCCACACUGGGACUGAGACACGGCCCAGACUCCUACGGGAGGCAGCAGUGGGGAAUUUUGGACAAUGGGCGCAAGCCUGAUCCAGCCAUGCCGCGUGCGGGACGAAGGCCUUCGGGUUGUAAACCGCUUUCAGCCGGAAAGAAAUCGCUGUUUUUAAUACAGACAGUGGAUGACGGUACCGGAAGAAGAAGCACCGGCUAACUACGUG